rnacentral:rRNA from 1 species
AACGUAGGUGGCAAGCGUUAUCCGGAAUUACUGGGCGUAAAGGGUGUGCAGGCGGGGAAGCAAGUGGUGUUUGAAAUCUCCCAGCUUAACUGGGAUAGGUUAUGCCAGACUGCUUUUCUAGAGGACGAGAGAGGGGGGUGGAAUUCCGGGUGUAGUGGUGAAAUGCGCAGAUAUCGGGAAGAACACCCGUGGCGAAGGCGGCUCUCUGGGACGGUACUGACGCUGAGACGCGAAAGCGUGGGGAGCGAACAGG